UACGGGGGGGGCAAGCGUUGUUCGGAAUUACUGGGCGUAAAGGGCUCGUAGGCGGCCAACUAAGUCAGACGUGAAAUCCCUCGGCUUAACCGGGGAACUGCAUCUGAUACUGGAUGGCUUGAGGUUGGGAGAGGGAUGCGGAAUUCCAGGUGUAGCGGUGAAAUGCGUAGAUAUCUGGAGGAACACCGGUGGCGAAGGCGGCAUCCUGGACCAACACUGACGCUGAGGAGCGAAAGCCAGGGGAGCAAACGGG
rnacentral:rRNA from 1 species